rnacentral:rRNA from 1 species
ACGGAAGGCAGCAGUAGGGAAUCUUCGGCAAUGGGGGCAACCCUGACCGAGCAACGCCGCGUGAGUGAAGAAGGUUUUCGGAUCGUAAAGCUCUGUUGUAAGAGAAGAACGUGUGUGAGAGUGGAAAGUUCACACAGUGACGGUAACUUACCAGAAAGGGACGGCUAACUACGUGCCGGCAGCCGCGGUAAUACGUAGGUCCCGAGCGUUGUCCGGAUUUAUUGGGCGUAAAGCGAGCGCAGGCGGUUUAAUAAGUCUGAUGUUAAAGGCAGUGGCUUAACCAUUGUUCGCUUUGGAAACUGUUAGACUUGAGUGCAGAAGGGGAGAGCGGAAUUCCAUGUGUAGCGGUGAAAUGCGUAGAUAUAUGGAGGAACGCCGGUGGCGAAAGCGGCUCUCUGGUCUGUAACUGACGCUGAGGCUCGAAAGCGUGGGGAGCAAACAGGAUUAGAUACCCUGGUA